rnacentral:rRNA from 1 species
UUGAACAUAAGAGUUUGAUCCUGGCUCAGAUUGAACGCUGGCGGCAUGCUUUACACAUGCAAGUCGGACGGCAGCGGGGUAGUGCUUGCACUACUGCCGGCGAGUGGCGAACGGGUGAGUAAUAUAUUGGAACGUACCGAGUAAUGGGGGAUAACCAAUCGAAAGAUUGGCUAAUACCGCAUACGCUCUGAGGAGGAAAGCAGGGGACCUUC